UGGGGGGAUAUUGGUCAAUGGAGGAAACUCUGAACCAGCGACGCCGCGUGAGGGAAGAAGGUCUUCGGAUUGUAAACCUUUGUUGACAGGGACGAUACAAGACGGUACCUGUCGAGGAAGCCACGGCUAACUACGUGCCAGCAGCCGCGGUAAUACGUAGGUGGCAAGCGUUAUCCGGAUUUACUGGGUGUAAAGGGCGCGUAGGCGGGGAUGCAAGUCAGAUGUGAAAUCUAUGGGCUUAACCCAUAAACUGCAUUUGAAACUGUAUCUCUUGAGUGUCGGAGAGGUAGACGGAAUUCCUAGUGUAGCGGUGAAAUGCGUAGAUAUUAGGAGGAACACCAGUGGCGAAGGCGGUCUACUGGACGAUAACUGACGCUGAGGCGCGAAAGCGUGGGGAGCAAACAGGAUUAGAUACCCUGGUAGU
rnacentral:rRNA from 1 species